CGUUCUUGCUGCUGCUGCUCCUGGGGGCUGUUAUUCCAGAUAUUUCUGCCUGAGUCUGACAGACCUGGGUUUGAGUCCCAGCUUCCGGCUAACACGUUUCUAUUUUGAAAAGGGAAUGAUUCCAGAAAAGAGCCUCCUAGCAUCCUGUCAAGUUAUGUCCAGCCACGAUCUUGGCUAACUCAUGAAAUCAACUUUCCACUAAGUCAUAUUCCAAACAACUCUUCUAGAUAACAGGAAGAGAGAACACAAUACGGAAGAGGUGGACUGUUGUCGAAUAAUCCAGGAGAGUAGGAAACAGAGGUACGCAUACAUUAUUUCCUGCGGAAUACUGCAUUCAAGGCUCACUCUUCACAACUCUCUCUGUGUCCAUGUCCUUUGCCAUGUGACUUUGGGGUUCCUCCCACUGAAGAAGGUGGGAAUAUGGCUUUGGAUUCAGCUAUGGGACUUGCUUUGGGCAAGGGAAUGUCAGCAAGUAUAAUGUGGCCAAAGAAUAUAAAAAGCACUUGUGUGACUGGGCAAGCCCUCCUGUGCCGGGGGCGCUGCCUUGAGAACAGGCCCUGGGCACAGCACUGGCCUGAGGAGGUGAGAAUACGUGGACCAGAGAUGUCCCAGGCAAGCCAACCGAGCUGGGCUCGCCUGGAUCAGCCACCCUACACAGGCAAAAAUGGAAUAAAUGCUCAUUGUCAUGGA